GGGAAUGUGGCUCAGUGGUAGAGCACCUGCCUAGCUUGUGUAAGGCCCUGGGUUCAAUCCCCAGCACUGCAA
rnacentral:tRNA from 1 species